GCUCCUUUAGCUCAGUUGGUUUUAGAGCGCCGUGCUUAUAGCCAUCAACACAGCUAUGAUAGAGUCACGCGGAUGUCGCCAGUUCGAUCCUGGCAAGGAGCA
rnacentral:tRNA from 2 species